rnacentral:rRNA from 1 species
CCACCUGACACAAGUUGGGUACUCACUCGAUAUAGAGUGUAGAGCGAACGAGGGGAACUGAAACAUCUAAGUACCCUUAGGAAGAGAAAUCAAUUGAGAUUCCCGUAGUAGUGGCGAGCGAAGUGGGAAGAGCCUGGUAUGAUUUAGCUGUAAUUAUAGUAGAACAAGUUGGGAAGCUUGACGAUAGAGGGUGAUAGUCCCGUAUACGAAAUAAUCACAGUGGAACUAAGCAUACGAACAAGUAGGACGGGGCACGUGGAACCUUGUCUGAAUAUGGGGGGACCAUCCUCCAAGGCUAAAUACUCCUGAAUGACCGAUAGUGGACUAGUACCGUGAGGGAAAGGUGAAAAGAACCCUUAUAAAGGGAGUGAAAUAGAAUCUGAAACCGCUUGCAUACAAGCAGUAGGAGCAUGAUUUAGUCAUGUGACUGCGUACCUUUUGUAUAAUGGGUCAGCGAGUUAUUUUUAGUGGCGAGGAUAACUGAAUAAGGGAUCCGUAGCGAAAGCGAGUUUUAAUAGGGCGACUAGUCGCUAGGAGUAGACCCGAAACCGGCGCGAUCUAUCCAUGGCCAGGUUGAAGAUUAGGUAGUACUAAUUGGAGGACCGAACCCAAUACUGUUGCAAAAGUAUGGGAUGAG